AGGAGAGAUUAUGGUAAUUCACGUAGCCCGCUUGGAGUGACGCCCGGUACAGAGCAGACACUCAUUCAGCAUGAGCCAUUGCUACUACUGUUGCUGUGACACAUGCUGUUGAAAUUCAGAGAAAAGAGAGUUCUAGGGAAACCAGAGUCACUGAAGGAAGCUUCCUGAAGAAGGUAGGGCAGGAACUUGGAUCAUGAAUGAAGGACGAGAGGAGAGGAAGUCGUAUGUUUUGUUUUCCUCGAGAUCUCCUCGGGGCCAGUCAACAAAAGGGCCAGUCGUCAUCGAUCAUGAAGGUGGCACUUCUUUCCAACUUCCUACAGCUGGAUUCAGAGCUGCUUCCGGAGUGAAGGAAUUUCCACAAGAUUUUGAUACUGGAUCUGCAGAUGACAAAAGUUCGGACAUUGUAUUAGGCACUUGAGGACUCUACCCUCUCCUUUCGCCUAGAUAAAAGACCUUCCAACCACUCCAAAGAUGGACUCUGGGGCGGGGGGGAUCUUGCCGUCAAGACCAGGACUUUCUCAAGAAGCCAUCUUGGAUUUUCGCAAAUGCUCCGAGGGGUGCUUGUGUGGAUUGUCAGACCCACAGGGAUGGUUGGCUGAGUAACCAUAGCAAACCGUGCCAUCGGAGUUAAGGAAGGAAGAUACCAUCCCUUUUCUGAUGGCCGAUAGUUUCUUCGAAAGUAAAGAAAUGCAGACAAUCUUCAUAACAGCUGUCUUAUCCUCUUGAUCUCACUCCUUGUUAGAGCAAACCAUUUGGGACAGUUAAUAGUGAAAGUCGUGAUAAGGAGGAAGUGAUCACUUUCAAACUAAUCUAGUAUAUCUGCACGAGAUGGUGAUAAACAAGGACGGUCUAACUAUUAAGUAAUCAAAACAUUGAUUUAUAAUUGGAGAUAUAGUAUUAGUUCCUCCCUAUCUCUCCCACCACCCACCACACACACACACACACACACACACACACACACACACACACACACACAGGCAUUAGCAAGCCCAGCUUGGUUCUUUUUUUCCUUCCUCCCCCCAUCACCCUCCCAUUCCCUCCUCUCUCUUUUCUUUUCUUUUUCUUUCUUUUGUUUUCCCUUUUCUUUUCCUUUCUCUUCUUUCUUUCUUUCUUUCUUUCUUUCUUUCUUUCUUUCUUUCUUUCUUAUCCCUCCUCCCUCUCUUUCUCUCCCCCCCUCUUUUAUGUACCUAUUAUACCCAGCAUUUCUCUUUAUCAGAGAAUCUACCACAUGAUGUUGAAAUUAACUGUUCGUGUAUUAUCUUCCUCACUAAACUAUACACUACUCAAAGACAGGGUUAACAUAUUCCUUUAAAAACCUGCUGACCAGCACAAAAAUUACUUCACAAAUGGGAUGAGAAUAUGUCUAGACUAGUUCCAUGAGCACUCAUUCAUGCCAUGCCUACAGAUGAAUUUGACUAGGUAUUUCCUUCUUUGAUUUAAUCUAUUCUUUUUAGAUGAGUGGCCCAUGAGAAAAUAAACUUUUUAGUCCAGACUAUAAAAUGGAGAUA
rnacentral:lncRNA from 1 species